rnacentral:rRNA from 1 species
AUUGAACGCUGGCGGCAUGCCUAACACAUGCAAGUCGAACGAGGUGUAGCAAUACAUCUAGUGGCGGACGGGUGAGGAAUACGUAGGAAUUUGCCUUAGAGCGGGGGAUAGCCCAGGGAAACUUGGAGUAAUACCGCAUGAUGUCGAAAGACCAAAGCAGGGGACCGCAAGGCCUUGCACUCUAAGAGAAGCCUACGUCUGAUUAGCUAGUUGGUAGGGUAAUGGCCUACCAAGGCGACGAUCAGUAACUGGUCUGAGAGGACGAUCAGUCACACCGGAACUGAGACACGGUCCGGACUCCUACGGGAGGCAGCAGUGGGGAAUCUUGCCCAAUGGGCGAAAGCCUGAGGCAGCGACGCCGCGUGAGGGAGGAAGGCCUUCGGGUUGUAAACCUCUUUCAGGAGGGACGAAGCUACUCGGGUGAAUAGCCCAGAGGGUGACGGUACCUCCAGAAGAAGCCCCGGCUAACUACGUGCCAGCAGCCGCCGUAAUAC